UCUGGUUGAUCCUGCCAGUUGUCAUAUGCUUGUUUCAAGGACUAAGCCAUGCAAGUGUCAGAGUACUCGUGGUGUGCCUCGAGAGGUCUGUGUACGGCUCAUUAAACGGUUUAUUGUCUACCCAACGACGAAUGCAUUUGCCAUUCCGAUGGGAUAACUUCGCUAACUGCGAAGCUAAUACCUGUCCGAACAACCUCGUCGCCAUCAAAGCAUCCAGGAGCCUUCGGACUCUUGGGUGCGGCGCGAGGUGCGAUUCGCCGACACAAAAACCAGCGCCCUCACCGGCAGCUGCAAUUGUUGAGGCAGGCGAAUGUUGCGAAAGCACUUUGUGCGAUGUUGGACGAAUUUACCACCUAUCAGGUUGAAGGUAGUAUAGUUGACUACCUUGCCGAUGACGGGUAACGGAGAAUUGGGGUUCGAUUCCGGAGAGGGUGCCUGAGAAAUGGCAACCAUGACUACGGUCAGCAGCAGGCGCGCAAAUUGCCCAAUGCCAACGCUGGCGAGGCAGCGACGAAAAAUAACAACUUUGUUGCACACACGUGCAUCAGAGAUUGCAAUGAACUGUAUCUACAAACACUGCAGACGAUCCAUUGGAGGGCAAGUCUGGUGCCAGCAGCCGCGGUAAUUCCAGCUCCAGGGGCGUAUAUAAAUGUUGUUGCGGUUAAAAAGCCCGUAGUUGGAUUUGAGGGCAUCGCCUGUGGGACUGCCCUGGGUUCGCUCAGGUCUCCAGCACCCACGUUACGACGAUGCUCUGUCUAUUGCGGGGUUGGACCUCUGGAAGCACCAUGAUUCUUCGGAUGAUUGGCGCUCCCACUUCGGAGUCACAACGCUCCAAAGAGGCGCCCGCAGCUGUCACUGUGAGCAAAACAGAGUGUUCAAGGCAACAAACUGUUCAGUUGAAUGCCAAAGCAUGGAAUGACAGGGGAUCGACCACUGGUGGCCUCUUUUUGUUGGUUUUUAGCCUUCAGUGAGGCAAAUUUGCAGGAGAGCUUUCCAUUUCGAGCUUCGGCUCGUGUGUGAAACUCUUUUGCGCUCGGGAUCAACAGGAGCACAGGGGGCCAUGAGUACCAGAGGGCGAGUGGUGAAAUACUGAGACCCCUCUGAGACUGACAUCAGCGAAAGCACUUGGCUAUUGUGCUUUCAUUAAUCAAGGACGAGAGAUAGGGGAUCGAAGAGGAUUAGACACCCUCGUAGUCCUUUCCUUAAAUUCUGCAGACUUGGGAUCGGUCAGUGCUCACUUUUUGGCCUGAUCGGCACCUUCCUUUCCUCUCGAGAAAUCAAAGUCUUUGUGUUCCGGGGGGAGUACAUUCGCAAGGCUGAAACUUAAAGGAAUUGACGGAGAACCACCACCAGUCGUGGAUUGUGUGGCUUAAUUCGACCCAACACGGGAAAUUUUACCAGCGCAGGACAUGGUCAGGAUUGCCAAGUUCAAGCCUUUGCUUGAUUCCAUGAAGGGUGGUGCAUGGCCGCUUCUGGUUGGUGAAUGUGAUUUGUCUGCUUAAUUGCGAUAACGAAC
rnacentral:rRNA from 1 species